CUUUUCCGGAUCUAGAAGAGCAGGAGUGGAGUGAUGGAUACUCCUGUCUCAUCGAAAUACAGGCGUGGAGGCGGUCCACCUGCGUCCGUACGAAUCAGUCGGAACUCUGCCUGUUUUUGAUGCGAACGAAUUGAGCAGAACUUGCUUGGUGUAGAUAAUGGUUGAGAAGACCCACUUCUAUUUCUCCUGAACCUAACACAAUACUGGCACAGCGUUGGUGGUCAGUGAACAUUAAUUGGAUGGAUAGGGUUCUCCAGGCUAAAGUCCUGGUGGAGUGCUCAAGACCAGAACACUGGGAGAAACCCUCUGAACUCCUGGCCACACUCCUGUCCACAGUGCAGUACCUGAUGCGAAGAGGCGACUCGGUGGAA